rnacentral:rRNA from 1 species
GACACGACUCUCGGCAAUGGAUAUCUCGGCUCUCGCAUCGAUGAAGAGCGCAGCGAAAUGCGAUACGUGGUGCGAAUUGCAGAAUCCCGCGAACCAUCGAGUCUUUGAACGCAAGUUGCGCCUGAGGUCAGCUGGCCGAGGGCACGUCCGCCUGGGCGUCAAGC